AACGAACGCUUGCGGCAUGCCUAACACAUGCAGGUCGAACCAAGCCUUCGGGCUUAGUGGCGCACGGGUGCGUAACGCGUGGGAAUCUACCCUUCGGUUCGGAAGAACAGUUGGAAACGCGUGCUAAUACGUGAAGAUGCCGAAAGUCUAAAUAUUUAUUGCCAGAGGAUGAGCCAGCGUAGGAUUAGCUAGUUGAAGUGGUAAAGAUGCACCAAGGCGACGAUCCUUAGCUGGUCUGAGAGGAUGAUCAGCCACACUGGGACUGAGACACGGCCCAGACUCCUAAGGGAGGCAGCAGUGGGGAAUAUUGGACAAUGGGCGAAAGCCUGAUCCAGCAAUGCCGCGUGAGUGAUGAAGGCCCUAGGGUUGUAAAGCUCUUUUACCCGGGAUGAUAAUGACAGUACCGGGAGAAUAAGCCCCGGCUAACUCCGUGCCAGCAGCCGCCGCCG
rnacentral:rRNA from 1 species